UGACUNGAGUGCAGAAGGGGAGAGUGGAAUUCCAUGUGUAGCGGUGAAAUGCGUAGAUAUAUGGAGGAACACCAGUGGCGAAAGCGGCUCUCUGGUCUGUCACUGACGCUGAGGCUCGAAAGCGUGGGUAGCGAACAGGAUUAGAUACCCUGGUAGUCCACGCCGUAAACGAUGAGUGCUAGGUGUUAGGCCCUUUCCGGGGCUUAGUGCCGGAGCUAACGCAAUAAGCACUCCGCCUGGGGAGUACGACCGCAAGGUUGAAACUCAAAGGAAUUGACGGGGGCCCGCACAAGCGGUGGAGCAUGUGGUUUAAUUCGAAGCAACGCGAAGAACCUUACCAGGUCUUGACAUCCCGAUGCUAUUCUUAGAGAUAGGAAGUUACUUCGGUACAUCGGAGACAGGUGGUGCAUGGUUGUCGUCAGCUCGUGUCGUGAGAUGUUGGGUUAAGUCCCGCAACGAGCGCAACCCUUAUUGUUAGUUGCCAUCAUUAAGUUGGGCACUCUAGCGAGACUGCCGGUAAUAAACCGGAGGAAGGUGGGGAUGACGUCAAAUCAUCAUGCCCCUUAUGACCUGGGCUACACACGUGCUACAAUGGUCGGUACAACGAGUUGCGAGCCGGUGACGGCAAGCUAAUCUCUGAAAGCCGAUCUCAGUUCGGAUUGGAGGCUGCAACUCGCCUCCAUGAAGUCGGAAUCGCUAGUAAUCGCGGAUCAGCACGCCGCGGUGAAUACGUUCCCGGGCCUUGUACACACCG
rnacentral:rRNA from 1 species